rnacentral:rRNA from 1 species
UACGUAGGGCGCAAGCGUUGUCCGGAAUUAUUGGGCGUAAAGAGCUCGUAGGCGGUUUGUCGCGUCUGUCGUGAAAGCUUGGGGCUUAACCCCAAGUCUGCGGUGGAUACGGGCAGACUAGAGGCAGGUAGGGGAGAACGGAAUUCCCGGUGUAGCGGUGAAAUGCGCAGAUAUCGGGAGGAACACCGGUGGCGAAGGCGGUUCUCUGGGCCUGUACUGACGCUGAGACGCGAAAGCGUGGGGAGCGAACAGG